UUUACUCAGGUCAUAUGGGCGGAUCCAUUAACAAAGCAACGUCUACGUUAUAACCGUAGGUGAGGCCGCCAAAAUCUCAGUGAGGACACAGCAACAUUGAAGAAUCACAAAUUGGAUUCUUCAACAUCCCCACUCUAUAACUUCCAUCUUUAUACUUGUUUUCAUUUCUCAGUUAGAUAUUCCAAAACCCUUCUAUGAUUUAAUCAAGUUUAUUGUUAUGGUUUGCUCUUGAAAUUAUCGAUUUUAUGCUUUAGUUUUUAUAAUAUAAAACUUUUUUUCAACUAUCAUUAUAGAUCUUACUUGAUUGUAGCUGGCCAUCAAUCAAUAUACCCUAUAUUUUGAGUUUGAAUAUAGGCUUAUAUCUUUGAUUUUAAUUACCUUGGCUUUCAAAAUGUUACUUUUAGUAGCAAUAGGUUUUGUUUAUUAUUCAUUUUCAGCACUAGUUUUUUUUCUUCUAGAGAUGAUAGGAAAAGUAAAGGUUAUUCUACAUGGACAGUGUAUAAUGUGAUGAUUUGUGGCAGGUACUUCUGAUAUAGUCAUGUCCAGCAUUCUCCAGGUGCAGCACACCACAAUGUAGCUGUGCCGAGAGCCUGGAAUUUGUGUCCAUGAUUACAUAAACAUCUGUUAACUGAUUUAUUCACUGUCCAUGUUUAGCCUCAUUUUUUAGAUAAUAAAAUCGGCUUCAUGCAUCGGGAUCGGAUGGGGUAUGAAAAGGGUAAAUGUAUGCAACUAUACUCUUGAAAGAGCGAGGAGACUGUUUUUUAGGAUUUGAACCUAUAAACAAACAACAUUACUGUUGCACUGCCGAGGCUCACCAUCUUCAUUUUAGAAAUGAAAUCAAAACUUUUUGCUCCUUUAAUUUCUCUUUGUGCUAUUAGCAUAGAACUUUUUGUUUUUUGUUUGUUUUAAUUUCUAAGUAGAUACUCUGCUAGCAAUGCUAUAACUGUAUCAGUUUGUUUGAGCAGGGUCAUGAUCAUAUACUUCUAGAUGAGAAAUUGGAUGAUAGAUCAAAGAGCAGCUUUGAUUCUAAUCUCAGCAAUUCAGAAUCAAAACAUAAUUCAAAAUCUAAGCAAUGUAUGUGAUCACCAUCUAAUAGCUCAAAUUUGUAGAAGUGGCCAAUUUUCAAGGUCACCCAAUAUUUUCUUACUUAUAAGUUGCUUAUCUCUAUGCAAUAGAUAAACAUCAUGGUGAAGUAGGCAUGCUUACCUAAAUGAUUGUCUUACUGAGGUUUACAAUUGUUGUCAUGGUUUUAAUUUGUGGCUAGCAAGGGCAAUUAUAAUUGUGAUAUUUUAGUUUUGGCAAUUUC
rnacentral:lncRNA from 1 species